GAAUAUUGGACAAUGGGCGAAAGCCUGAUCCAGCCAUGCCGCGUGUGUGAAGAAGGUCUUCGGAUUGUAAAGCACUUUAUGUUGGGAGGAAGGGCAGUAAGCGAAUACCUUGCUGUUUUGACGUUACACACAGAAUACGCACAGGCUUACUCUGUGCCAGCAGCCGCGGUAAUACAGAGGGUGCAAGCGUUAAUCGACAUUACGGGGCGUAAAGCGCGCGUAAGUGGUUCGUUAAGUUGGAAUGGAAAUCCCCUGGCUCAACCUGGGAACUGCAUCCAAAAAUGAGGAGGUAGAGGAGGGGAGAGGGAAGAGGAAUAUCGUGGGGAGGGGUGAAAAGCGUAGAAAUAGGAAGGAAAAACAGUGGCGAAGGCGACCACCUGGGCUCAUACUGAAACUGAGGUGCGAAAGCGUGGGGAGCAAACA
rnacentral:rRNA from 1 species